GAUGAACGCUGGCGGCGUGCCUAAUACAUGCAAGUCGAGCGAACGGACGAGAAGCUUGCUUCUCUGAUGUUAGCGGCGGACGGGUGAGUAACACGUGGAUAACCUACCUAUAAGACUGGGAUAACUUCGGGGAACCGGAGCUAAUACCGGAUAAUAUUUUGAACCGCAUGGUUCAAAAGUAAAAGACGGUCUUGCUGUCACUUAUAGAUGGAUCCGCGCUGCAUUAGCUAGUUGGUAAGGUAACGGCUUACCAAGGCAACGAUGCAUAGCCGACCUGAGAGGGUGAUCGGCCACACUGGAACUGAGACACGGUCCAGACUCCUACGGGAGGCAGCAGUAGGGAAUCUUCCGCAAUGGGCGAAAGCCUGACGGAGCAACGCCGCGUGAGUGAUGAAGGUCUUCGGAUCGUAAAACUCUGUUAUUAGGGAAGAACAUAUGUGUAAGUAACUGUGCACAUCUUGACGGUACCUAAUCAGAAAGCCACGGCUAACUACGUG
rnacentral:rRNA from 1 species